rnacentral:rRNA from 1 species
UACAUGUGGGGCAAGCGUUGUUCGGAAUUACUGGGCAUAAAGGGUGCGUAGGCGGCUUGUUAAGUCAGGGGUGAAAGUUUUCGGCCCAACCGGAAAAUUGCCUUUGAUACUGGCGAGCUGGAGUGCGUGAGGGGUGACCGGAACGAGUGGUGUAGCGGUGAAAUGCGUAGAUAUCACUCGGAAGGCCAACGGCGAAGGCAGGUCACUGGUGCGCAACUGACGCUGAGGCACGAAAGCGUGUGGAGCAAACAGG